rnacentral:rRNA from 1 species
UACGGAGGGUGCGAGCGUUGUCCGGAUUUAUUGGGUUUAAAGGGUGCGUAGGCGGCCCGUUAAGUCCGGGGUGAAAGCCCGCUGCUCAACAGCGGAACUGCCCUAGAUACUGACGGGCUUGAGUACAGACGAGGUUGGCGGAAUGGACUGAGUAGCGGUGAAAUGCAUAGAUACAGUCCAGAACCCCGAUUGCGAAGGCAGCUGACUAGGCUGUUACUGACGCUGAGGCACGAAAGCGUGGGGAGCGAACAGG